GACGAACGCUGGCGGCGUGCUUAACACAUGCAAGUCGAACGGAAAGGCCCCUUUUGUGUUACUCGCGUGGCGAACGGGUGCGUAACACGUGAGUAACCUGCCCUUGCCUUCGGGAUAACUUCAGUAAACUGGGUCUAAUACCUGCUAGGAAUCCUUGCUGCAUGGUUGGGGUUGGAAAGCUUCGGCGGUUUUGGAUGGACUCGCGGCUUAUCAGCUUGUUGGUGGGGUAGUUGCUUACCAAGGCUUUGACGGGUAGCCGGCCUGAGAGGGCGACCGGCCACAUUGGGACUGAGAUACGGCCCAGACUCCUACGGGAGGCAGCAGUGGGGAAGAUUGAAAAAGGGGCGGAAGCCUGAUGCAGCAACGCCGCGUGCGGGAUGAAGGCCUUCGGGUUGGAAACCGCUUUCAGCAGGGGAGAAGCUUGUGGUGACGGUACCUGCAGAAGAAGCACCGGCUAACUACGUG
rnacentral:rRNA from 1 species